rnacentral:rRNA from 1 species
CUAUAGAGAGAUUUUUGCUCUGCUCAGAUGAACGCUGGCGGCAUGCUACACAUGCAAGUCGAACGGCAGCACGGGUGCUUGCACUGGUGGCGAGUGGCGAACGGGUGGAGUAAUACAUCGGGAACAUGUCCUGUAGUGGGGGAUAGCCCGGCGAAAGCCGGGAUUUAAUACCGCAUACGAUCUACGGAUGAAAGCGGGGGACUUUCGGGCCUCGCGCUAUAGGGUUGGCCGAUGGCUGAUUAGCUAGUUGGUGGGGUAAAGGCCUACCAAGGGCGACGAUCAGUAGCUGGUCUGAGAGGACGACCAGCCACACUGGGACUGAGACACGGCCCAGACUCUACGGGAGGCAGCAGUGGGGAAUUUUGGACAAUGGGCGAAAGCCUGAUCCAGCAAUGCCGCGUGUGUGAAGAAGGCCUUCGGGUUGUAAAGCACUUUUGUCCGGAAAGAAAUCCUUGGCUCUAAUACAGUCGGGGGAUGACGGUACCGGAAGAAUAAGCACCGGCUAACUACGUGCCAGCAGCCGCGGUAAUACGUAGGGUGCAAGCGUUAAUCGGAAUUACUGGGCGUAAAGCGUGCGCAGGCGGUUUGCUAAGACCGAUGUGAAAUCCCCGGGCUCAACCUGGGAACUGCAUUGGUGACUGGCAGGCUAGAGUAUGGCAGAGGGGGGUAGAAUUCCACGUGUAGCAGUGAAAUGCGUAGAGAUGUGGAGGAAUACCGAUGGCGAAGGCAGCCCCCUGGGCCAAUACUGACGCUCAUGCACGAAAGCGUGGGGAGCAAACAGGAUUAGAUACCCUGGUAGUCCACGCCCUAAACGAUGUCAACUAGUUGUUGGGGAUUCAUUUCCUUAGUAACGUAGCUAACGCGUGAAGUUGACCGCCUGGGG